rnacentral:rRNA from 1 species
AAUAGAUACCCCGGUAGCCCACGCCGUAAACGAUGGAUACUAGCUGUUUGAGCGCAAGUUUGAGUGGCUAAGCGAAAGUGAUAAGUAUCCCACCUGGGGAGUACGGGCGCAAGCCUGAAACUCAAAGGAAUUGACGGGGGCCCGCACAAGCGGUGGAGCAUGUGGUUUAAUUCGAUGAUACGCGAGGAACCUUACCAGGGCUUAAAUGUAGAUUGACGUAUUUGGAAACAGAUAUUUCUUCGGACAAUUUACAAGGUGCUGCAUGGUUGUCGUCAGCUCGUGCCGUGAGGUGUCAGGUUAAGUCCUAUAACGAGCGCAACCCCUGUUGUUAGUUGCCAGCGAGUAAUGUCGGGAGCUCUAGCAAGACUGCCAGUGUAAACUGUGAGGAAGGUGGGGAUGACGUCAAAUCAUCACGGCCCUUACGUCCUGGGCCACACACGUGCUACAAUGGCCGGUACAGAGAGCAGCCACUUAGCGAUAAGGAGCGAAUCUAUAAAGCCGGUCACAGUUCGGA